GAUGAACGCUGGCGGCGUGCCUAAUACAUGCAAGUCGAGCGAACGGACGAGAAGCUUGCUUCUCUGAUGUUAGCGGCGGACGGGUGAGUAACACGUGGAUAACCUACCUAUAAGACUGGGAUAACUUCGGGAAACCGGAUCUAAUACCGGAUAAUAUUUUGAACCGCAUGGUUCAAAAGUGAAAGACGGUCUUGCUGUCACUUAUAGAUGGAUCCGCGCUGCAUUAGCUAGUUGGUAAGGUAACGGCUUACCAAGGCAACGAUGCAUAGCCGACCUGAGAGGGUGAUCGGCCACACUGGAAAUGAGAGACGGUCCAGACUCCUACGGGAGGCAGCAGUAGGGAAUCUUCCGCAAUGGGCGAAAACCUGACGUAGCAACGCGGCGUGAGUGAUGAAGGUCUUCGGAUCGUAAAACUCUGUUAUUAGGGAAGAACAUAUGUGUAAGUAACUGUGCACAUCUUGACGGUACCUAAACAGAAAGCCACGGCUAACUACGUG
rnacentral:rRNA from 1 species